UUCCAGACUCCUACGGGAGGCAGCAGUGGGGAAUAUUGCACAAUGGGGGGAACCCUGAUGCAGCGACGCCGCGUGGGUGAAGGAGUAUUUCGGUAUGUAAAGCUCUAUCAGCAGGGAAGAAAAUGACAGUACCUGACCAAGAAGCCCCGGCUAACUACGUGCCAGCAGCCGCGGUAAUACGUAGGGGGCAAGCGUUAUCCGGAUUUACUGGGUGUAAAGGGAGCGUAGACGGUUAUGUAAGUCUGGAGUGAAAGCCCGGGGCCCAACCCCGGGACUGCUCUUGGAACUGCGUGGCUGGAGUGCAGGAGGGGCAGGCGGAAUUCCUGGUGUAGCGGUGAAAUGCGUAGAUAUCAGGAGGAACACCGGUGGCGAAGGCGGCCUGCUGGACUGCAACUGACGUUGAGGCCCGAAAGCGUGGGGAGCAAACAGGAUUAGAUACCCCGGUA
rnacentral:rRNA from 1 species